rnacentral:lncRNA from 1 species
ACGUGUCCGAACCAUCUCAAUCGUGCUUCCCGCAUCUUGCACUCCACUGAAGUCACACCAACCUUCUCCCGGAUAGUCUCAUUCCGAACUCUAUCCUCUCUAGUCAGUCCACACAUCCAGCGCAACAUCUGCAUUUCUGCCACCUUCAUUUUUUGGAUGUGGGAGUUCUUAACUGGCCAACACUCCGCUCCAUACAGCAAGGCCGGACGGACUACCACCCUAUAGAAUUUGCCUUUAAGCUUGGGCGGCACCUUCUUAUCACACAGCACCCCCGAUGCGAGUUUCCACUUCAUCCAUCCCGCCCCAAUACGGUGCGAGACAUCCUCGUCAAUCUCACCGUUACUCUGGAUCACGGACCCAAAUAUUUGAACUUAUCCCUCUUACAUACCUCCUGUGCUUCCAGCUUCACUACCACCUCAUUUUCCCGCCUCACGUCAUUAAACUUGCAUUCCACAUACUCUGUCUUGCUUCUGCUCACCCUGAACCCUUUAGACUCAAGAGUUCUCCUCCACACCUCUAAUUUGUCAUUCACACCCCCUCGAGUCUCAUCUAUCAGAACUACAUCGUCUGCAAAGAGAAUACACCCCGGCACCUCCCCUUGAAUACGCCGCGUCAACACAUCCAUCACCAACGCAAACAAAAAGGGACUAAGAGUAGAUCCCUGAUGCAAUCCUGUCAGGACAGUGAAAUGCUCUGAGUCUCCUCCCGCCGUCCUCACCUGGGUUUUCGCUCCCUCAUACAUAUCCUUAAUUACUCUGAUAUAUGCCUGCGGUACUCCACUCACCUCCAAGCAUCUCCAAAGCACCUCCCUGGGGACUUUGUCGUAAGCCUUUUCCAGGUCGAUAAACACCAUGUGCAGAUCCUUCUUCCUCUCCCUAUACUGCUCCACCA